UACGGAGGGUGCAAGCGUUGUUCGGAAUUAUUGGGCGUAAAGAGCGUGUAGGCGGUUGAACAAGUCAGAUGUGAAAGCCCUCGGCUCAACCGGGGAAGUGCAUUUGAAACUGUUCAGCUUGAGUACGGGAGAGGAGAGCGGAAUUCCCGGUGUAGAGGUGAAAUUCGUAGAUAUCGGGAGGAACACCGGUGGCGAAGGCGGUUCUCUGGCCCGAUACUGACGCUGAGACGCGAAAGCGUGGGGAGCAAACAGGAUUAGAUACCCCCGUA
rnacentral:rRNA from 1 species